UACGUAGGGUGCGAGCGUUAAUCGGAAUUACUGGGCGUAAAGUGUGCGCAGGCGGCCGAGCAAGUCGAGUGUGAAAGCCCCGAGCUUAACUUGGGAACUGCGCUCGAAAACUACUUGGGCUAGAGUGUGGCAGAGGGAGGUGGAAUUCCACGUGUAGCGGUGAAAUGCGUAGAUAUCUGGAGGAACACCGGUGGCGAAGGCGGCAUCCUGGACCGAUACUGACGCUGAGGAGCGAAAGCCAGGGGAGCAAACGGG
rnacentral:rRNA from 1 species